UAAUUAUGUUCGCUAUAACGGACAUGCAGUCUCCGCCUACAAGGUGCGUGGCGUGCCGGUGAUAUCCAGCGCAGAUACGUAGUUGGGAUUAUUAACAGUCAGGAUGCUGGUUAACAUCAAUGCAACAUGCAAAUGGUCACUAUACCAGCCUAAGAAGUGGAGACAGUAUGACUGAAGACACAGAAACUCUAGUGGUUUGGCCACAAAAGGUGGAAAUGGAAACAACAAGCACUGAUGACAUUGUUUGAGUGGGGAAAUUCAUUUCCUUGUGAACGUUCCUUUCGUUGGGUC